rnacentral:rRNA from 1 species
UACGUAGGGUGCAGGCGUUAAUCGGAAUUACUGGGCGUAAAGCGUGCGCAGGCGGUUCCUUAAGUCAGAUGUGAAAGCCCCGGGCUUAACCUGGGAACUGCGUUUGAAACUGGGAGACUUGAGUGUGGCAGAGGGGGAUGGAAUUCCGCGUGUAGCAGUGAAAUGCGUAGAUAUGUGGAGGAACACCGAUGGCGAAGGCAGCCCCCUGGGCUAACACUGACGCUCAUGCACGAAAGCGUGGGGAGCAAACAGG